UCUCCGUUGGUGAACCAGCGGAGGGAUCAUUACUGAGUUACCGCUCUACAACCCUUUGUGAACAUACCUAACUGUUGCUUCGGCGGGCAGAGGUCCCUCGCGGAUCUCUCCCGGCAACGCCCUCACGGGCGGAGCGCCCACCGGAGGAUACCAAACUCUAUUUUAACGACGUCUCUUCUGAGUGGCACAAGCAAAUAAUUAAAACUUUUAACAACGGAUCUCUUGGUUCUG
rnacentral:misc_RNA from 1 species